rnacentral:tRNA from 1 species
CCUGUGGCUCAGAAGGUAAAGCAUCUGCCUGCAAUAUAGGAGGCCCAGGUUCGAUCCCUGGGUCAGGA